rnacentral:rRNA from 1 species
UUGACGUUAGCGACAGAAGAAGCACCGGCUAACUCCGUGCCAGCAGCCGCGGUAAUACGGAGGGUGCGAGCGUUAAUCGGAAUUACUGGGCGUAAAGCGCAUGCAGGUGGUUUGUUAAGUCAGAUGUGAAAGCCCGGGGCUCAACCUCGGAAUAGCAUUUGAAACUGGCAGACUAGAGUACUGUAGAGGGGGGUAGAAUUUCAGGUGUAGCGGUGAAAUGCGUAGAGAUCUGAAGGAAUACCGGUGGCGAAGGCGGCCCCCUGGACAGAUACUGACACUCAGAUGCGAAAGCGUGGGGAGCAAACAGGAUUAGAUACCCUGGUAGUCCACGCCGUAAACGAUGUCUACUUGGAGGUUGUGGCCUUGAGCCGUGGCUUUCGGAGCUAACGCGUUAAGUAGACCGCCUGGGGAGUACGGUCGCAAGAUUAAAACUCAAAUGAAUUGACGGGGGCCCGCACAAGCGGUGGAGCAUGUGGUUUAAUUCGAUGCAACGCGAAGAACCUUACCUACUCUUGACAUCCAGAGAACUUU